CUAUGCGCCUUGCCAGCCCGCUCAGGUGUGCCAGCAGCCGCGGUAAUACGGAGGGUGCAAGCGUUAAUCGGAAUUACUGGGCGUAAAGCGCACGCAGGCGGUUUGUUAAGUCAGAUGUGAAAUCCCCGGGCUCAACCUGGGAACUGCAUCUGAUACUGGCAAGCUUGAGUCUCGUAGAGGGGGGUAGAAUUCCAGGUGUAGCGGUGAAAUGCGUAGAGAUCUGGAGGAAUACCGGUGGCGAAGGCGGCCCCCUGGACGAAGACUGACGCUCAGGUGCGAAAGCGUGGGGAGCAAACAGG
rnacentral:rRNA from 1 species